rnacentral:rRNA from 2 species
GGGGAAACCCUGACCGAGCAACGCCGCGUGAGUGACGAAGGCCUUCGGGUUGUAAAGCUCUGUUGUAAGGGAAGAACGGUACAUAGAGGGAAUGCUAUGUAAGUGACGGUACCUUACCAGAAAGCCACGGCUAACUACGUGCCAGCAGCCGCGGUAAUACGUAGGGGGCGAGCGUUGUCCGGAUUUACUGGGCGUAAAAGGUGCGUAGGCGGCCUUGUAAGUCAGAUGUGAAAGGCUACGGCUCAACCGUAGUAAGCAUUUGAAACUGCAGGGCUUGAGUGCAGGAGAGGAGAGUGGAAUUCCUAGUGUAGCGGUGAAAUGCGUAGAUAUUAGGAGGAACACCAGUGGCGAAGGCGACUCUCUGGACUGUAACUGACGCUGAGGCACGAAAGCGUGGGGAGCAAACA